UUCGCAAUGCCCGAAAGGGUGACAAUGCGACGCCGCGUGUGUGAUGAAGGUCUUCGGAUCGUAAAACACUGUCGGCCGGGAGGAAUCUCUGGAGGCUUAAUAAGCCUGCAGGGUGACAGUACCGGCAAAGGAAGCCACGGCUAACUCCGUGCCAGCAGCCGCGGUAAUACGGAGGUGGCAAGCGUUACUCGGAUUGAUUGGGUGUAAAGGGCGUGUAGGCGGUGCGUUAAGUCGAGUGUGAAAUCCCUUGGCUCAGCCAAGGAACUGCAUUCGAAACUGACGUGCUUGAGGACGGUAGGGGAGAGUGGAACUCCUGGUGUAGCGGUGAAAUGCGUAGAUAUCAGGAGGAACGCCGGUGGCGAAAGCGACUCUCUGGGCCGCUCCUGACACUGAGGCGCGAGAGCCAGGGGAGCAAACAGGAUUAGAUACCCUGGUAGUCCUAGCCCUAAACGAUGGGCACUAAGUAGAGGGGUUUU
rnacentral:rRNA from 1 species